rnacentral:rRNA from 1 species
UACGGAGGAGGCAAGCGUUAUCCGGAAUUAUUGGGCGUAAAGCGUCCGUAGGUGGCCUGUCAAGUCAGUUGUUAAAAAGUGGAGCUUAACUCCAUAGGGGCAAAUGAAACUGACAAGCUAGAGUGCGAUAGGGGCAAGGGGAAUUCCCAGUGUAGCGGUGAAAUGCGUAGAUAUUGGGAAGAACAUCGGUGGCGAAAGCGCCUUGCUGGGUCUGCACUGACACUGAGGGACGAAAGCUAGGGGAGCGAAAGGG